CAGUCGCCGCGGGAAUACGGAGGGUGCGAGCGUUAAUCGGAAUUACUGGGCGUAAAGCGUACGCAGGCGGUUUGUUAAGACAGAUGUGAAAUCCCCGGGCUUAACCUGGGAACUGCAUUUGUGACUGGCAAGCUAGAGUCUGGCAGAGGGGGGUGGAAUUCCGCGUGUAGCAGUGAAAUGCAUAGAUAUGCGGAGGAACACCGAUGGCGAAGGCAGCCCCCUGGGCCAACACUGACGCUCAUGCACGAAAGCGUGGGGAGCAAACAGGAUUAGAUACCCCUGUAGUCCCUGUCUCUUAUAA
rnacentral:rRNA from 1 species